UCUGGUGACGAUGGCGAAGAGGUCACACCCGUUCCCAUACCGAACACGGAAGUUAAGCUCUUCAGCGCCGAUGGUAGUAAGGGGCCUCCCCUUGCAAGAGCAGGACGUUGCCAGGC
rnacentral:rRNA from 1 species